rnacentral:lncRNA from 1 species
GAUGAGAAAGUUGGAGAGUGGUGAAGAUGAUCAACGUUGUGAUUGUGAAGCACUGAAUUGUCCAUUUUGUGAUUGAAGAGGAGAAUUGAGAAAGAACAAGAAAACACACUCACGCAAAUUAUUAUAGGGAGGGAGGGAGGGAGGGAACUGGGAAGAAAGAAGUGAAAAGGGAAAGGAAACUGACAAGGUAGUUAUUGUUGUGUUGUUUUUGGAACGAACGAACGUGGUGG